UUAAUUCUUUAGCCACAUAAUUAAGGUUACAAGAUGGGUUACGUAGUAUAUUGAAAAAGGUUGAUGUGAAAUUUGAAAAAGUCCUUUGCUGACAGGUUUGCUGACAGGUUUAUUUUUUUCUCUUUCUACCUAUAGGCACAGGGAAAGUUCCCAAGUUUUGAAUUUGGGAUAGUGUAGUUAGUCUCAUUUGAGUGUUGAGGACAUUUCGAUACGAAAGAAUUUUAAAUCAUAAAGAGUUUUAAAUGUAGAAUAUAAUGAAAAGCCUGUGUUUUUUCGGCCUGCUACAUGCCUAAAUAGCCAUGAAUUGGAAAUUUUACAAUGCCAGUUUCACAUAAAAAUUCUCUUCCCUUCUCCUUUUUCUUUUAUUAGCUGUAAGCAUUCAGACGAAAACCUCCUCACUUAUAUUGGAGCCCCUAUGUAAACUCCUGGAGAAUAUACAGAUAAGUUGAAUGUGACUUACACUUAUUCUGUGAGAUUGAAGUAAGUGCUUCGUGCCAUUAUCUUAAUCUUUUUAUAAAUAUCAUGUACUUAAUAUUAAAGCCUAAAUUUUCCUUGAGAUAAAGGUGUAUAACACAGCUAAGAACCCAAGAAAACAUGUAAAUUCUUCCUGUUCCAACAAUUUAAUGGACAGUCAGUACAGGAAUUACUAUAUUAAAUCUACUACAUUUCGGAUACUGUGCCAGCUAUUUCGCUUUCUCUUCAUGUUAAAGGUUUGAGGUUUGAAACAGGUACAUGGGGAACUGGAGGGGCAUCUUCUGGGGUUGGCAGGCUGGCUGGCUGCUCACGUGGGACCUUAAAGGAAGAAUAUCACAUGGGAGAGACACAGUAUAGUGUAGACAAAAGAACACAGACAAUGGCAGACUGAUCUGUGAUUCAAAUUGUGCCUUUGCCACUUACUAGCUGCAUGAGCUUAGGUAUUUUUUCGUGAGGUAUUUCAAAUAUCUUUUGGAAAAAUGCACCUCAGAAGGCACAGUAAUCUUGCUCUUGCUCAUUUUGAUGGUCACAACCUCUCCAAGCAAGACUCUCAGCUUUUCUGUUCACUUUGAUCCUUUCUUGCAAAAAUUGCUCAAAAUUGGCAGCACCAUGAUUCCAUCUUCUACGGAGUGGGUGCAAUCAAGAGUGAACUUUAGAAACUGCUUCUUUUUUUUGGUCUCCCUUCGCCACAAGCUUUAUGGGCACCAUGGUGGCAGAAGAGGCAGAAAGGAAGGUGAGUGAACUAUGCAGGCUGGAAAAAUGCUUCUUUUGUGUUAAAAAAAUUUUUUUUAAUGGCGCACAUCAACAUUUCCCCAAGUGCAUUGUGUAGAACACUAGUCUAGUCAAAUAAGUUUGGAAAAUGUUACUUUCUACUGCCUCCUUUCUCAGCUUUACAAAGCACAUUAGUGAAGUGUAAAAGUCUCCUAAUCUCAUUCGUAAUAAAGAAAUGUCUGAGUCUAACUCGGCACUUUACAAAUGUAUUAGACUCUGGAGCACUCUUUCUUUCUUUCU